UGUGAGUCCCCCCAAUUAUCCCAAUCAUCCCCUUCCCCGUCCUCGUCCUCUCUUAGCUAGUCCUGUUUCCGAUUCUUGCCACGAGUGUGUCGGCAGAGUUGGAGUGAGGUGUGCUUAAGCUCCACGCAUGGCAUAUCCCUCGGUCUUUUCCAAGGGACAGAUGGCCGAGACAUGGUCCCUGCAAUCCCUUCCAGUUUACAGGGACCGAGUUUUGGGAUUAAUCACAAGAAUGUGCGAUGGCGAACCGAUGAAUUCGCAUAAAAAAUGGAUCUUGUUUUGGCAAUUGCAUCUAGCGAGUAUACAUGCCUCGAGAGAUUUUCAGACGAUUGGGGAGGAAAUAGGAAAUAGAAUAAAGUAAAGAUUGAUCGCCUGUCCUCUUUCUUCUGUAUUUUUUCUCCUCCACCAACCCAACCAUAUCGACCCCGGACCAAACCUUAAAAAAUGACAUCAAAAUCUUAAUUCGUGCCGGCGCGCGAUUGGCUUUUCUCGAAAGGUGGUCCCCACGUAAGAAAGAGGGACCGGCAUCCUUCUCGCCCUUCAAUCAUAUCCGCACAUUAGUGACAUUUCCUUAAUUCUACAUUAAAUGUUAUGGGCGGCCGUACUGCUGUCUUUUGCUGCCUUUAUAACGUUCCGGUGAUCUCAAAUUAUUGACUUGUUCGAAUGCGAAGGAGCAAAUGGUGGAGCCAGCGGUGAUCGGGACGAAAAAUGUGAUCGUCGCAGCGGCGGAGGCCAAGGUCCGGCGGGUUGUGUUCACCUCCUCCAUCGGUGCAGUCACCAUGGACCCCAACCGGGGUCCGGACGUUGUGGUGGACGAGUCUUGUUGGAGCGACCUCGAAUUUUGCAAGAGCACUAAGGUCAUAUUUGAUUAUUCUCCUUAAUUCUGGCAUCCAUUUCUGGGCUGACCAAGUCAACGCGUCACUUGAGCCAUUGUUGACCAAAGACCUAGUCACAUAUCUAGCAUUUUUACCCAAAUGUGUUAAAUCCCCAUGGUUAAAAUAGAUCCUGUAUUUGGUCCCGCAGAACUGGUAUUGCUACGGCAAGGCAGUGGCAGAGAAGGCCGCUUGCGCAGAGGCGAAGGAGAGAGGGGUUGACCUCGUGGUGAUUAACCCUGUGCUCGUGCUUGGACCGCUCCUUCAGUCGACGAUCAAUGCGAGCAUCAUCCACAUCCUCAAGUACUUGACUGGCUCGGCCAAGACCUACGCCAACUCGGUCCAGGCAUACGUGCACGUCAAGGACGUCGC
rnacentral:lncRNA from 1 species